rnacentral:rRNA from 1 species
GGGAAAAGCUCAAAUUUCGAAUCUGGCGGUCUUUGGCCGUCCGAGUUGUAAUCUAGAGAAGCGUCGUCCGCGCUGGACCGUGUAUAAGUCUCCUGGAAGGGAGCGUCGUAGAGGGUGAGAAUCCCGUCUUUGACACGGACUACCAGUGCUAUGUGAUGCGCUCUCGACGAGUCGAGUUGUUUGGGAAUGCAGCUCAAAAUGGGUGGUAAAUUCCAUCUAAAGCUAAAUACAGGCGAGAGACCGAUAGCGAACAAGUACCGUGAGGGAAAGAUGAAAAGAACUUUGGAAAGAGAGUUAAACAGUACGUGAAAUUGCUGAAAGGGAAACGCUUGAUGUCAGUCGCGUCGGCCGGGGAUCAACCUUGCUUCUCUGCUGGGUGUACUUCCUGGUCGAUGGGUCAGCAUCAGCUUCGGUCGCCGUACAAGGGCGAGGGGAACGUGGCACUCUUCGGAGUGUGUUAUAGCCUUUCGUCGUAUGCGGCGGUCGGGUCUGAGGAACUCAGCACGGCUUUCGGGUUUGUGCUUAGGAUGCUGGCAUAAUGGCCUUAAGCGACCCGUCUUGAAACACGGACCAAGGAGUCUAACAUGCCUGCGAGUGUUUGGGUGGCAAACCCGAGCGCGCAAUGAAAGUGAAAGUUGAGACCUCUGUCGUGGAGGGCAUCGACGCCCGGACCUGAGUCUUUGACAACGGAUCUGCGGUAGAGCACGUAUGUUGGGACCCGAAAGAUGGUGAACUAUGCCUGAAUAGGGUGAAGCCAGAGGAAACUCUGGUGGAGGCUCGUAGCGAUUCUGA